rnacentral:snRNA from 1 species
AAGUGUUAAAGCUCUUUUAGAAUUUGUCUAACAAGUUUUGUGGUUUUACUAGAAAACCAUA